ensembl:lncRNA
UCUAGGAAGAGUCUUGGUGGUUCCAAACUUCUUCCAUUUAAGAAUGAUGAAGGCUACUGGUACCCUUCCCCAGAUCUGUACCUCGACACAAUCCUGUCUGAGCUCUACGGACAAUUCCUUAGACCUCACGGCUUGGUUUUUGCUCUGACAUGCACUGUCAACCUUGUGACUUUAUAUAGACAGGUGUGUGCCUUUCCAAAUCAUGUCCAAUCAAUUGAAUUUACCACAGGUGGACUCCAAUCAAGUUGUAGAAACAUCUCAAGGAUGAUCAAGGGAAACAAGAUGCACCUGAGCACAAUUUUGAGUCUCAUAGCGAAGGAUUCACAUUCCAAAUGGAGACAGAAGGGUCAGUAAAUGAAGCCAUCAAACUGAAAGUCAUCCUCAACGACAACAGAAUAGAGAAAGUGAUUCUGCCCUCUCAACCUGAUUCACUGAAUGAGCUGAUAUCAACGCUCAAGGAGAAACUGCAUCUGAAGUUUGAUUUCAGUCUUCUUUAUGAAGACCCUGAUUUCAGUGCUCUCUUUAGUUCACUUCACAGGGAGAAAAUAACAUCACCGUUCUGCAGUCCUGGCUGGUCUCCCUUUGUUGUUACGAGAGGAUGGUUCUGAUGUCUUCAAAAUGGCUCACCUGGUUUUACAGCCUGUAUCAUUAUCAACACAUUCUUUUGUAUUGUGUUUUUUAAACUUAUUUUUUUUCCUUUGUCAUUAAAGUGGGAGAACUCAGCAACCCUGGUAUUCUGGAUGGAGUUUCCAUUCUCUCAGUGGUGGGCCAGCACAAUGAGGUGGUGGGUGGUAUACCCAUCAGACCGGCCCAUAUGUAUCCAUUGUCGUUGAGGAUAAGAUCGUCAUGACUAACUCCCGUUCCUGGCCAGACGCUCUCGUGGUUGUUUUUGGGUUACUCUACUCCCUCCAUCUGAACUUCCCCAAAGCCCUGGGCAGCACCUCUGAGUUCAUGCAGAAAGUCUUCCUGAACCUCGACGAUGGAAAACUGAAGCCCAAGCGGCUAGUGCUGAAAUAUGAACUGUUGGCAUAAUUCUGUAGUGAUGAGAUGGAAUUUUACUUUGAGUGACCUCCUAUAUGCUGAGUGAGUGGUUUGAAAACAAUACUUAUUUUUGUUUGGUUUUUGUGUGUGUUUUUGUGCAGGUAAUGGAUUUGAUAUUGUAUUUCAAUGAACUUAUAACCCUUUUAUGUGAAAAGAAGACACAGGUCAGUCAACACAUUAACUUGCCACAUACAGUCGAUCUGCGACCCAGUUCUCUACCUUCGUUAUACAGCUGCAGAAAACCCCCAAAUGUUUUCUAGAAGAUUUCACCUUUGCAGACAAUCCAACUGGCACAAAAUACAUGUUGAUAAAAUGUUUAUUAAAGUGUCUUUACCUGCUAUUGUCUAUCUUCUCUGGCAGUGUUGUGUGAUCCUGGCCUUCUAUCUGAAUUCUAAAUGCUCACCAAGACACAGGACUAUGUCUUAACUGUUGUAACACACUGAAUAUACGCUGAGUGUACAUUAU